GGCGGAGUGAGGGACGGGGCAGGGCCGGGCUGUAAGUUCGAGUAGGGGUGAGGAGCGAGAAGGGGGCAUUAGAAAACAGGGCUGAGGGGAGGAGGUAAGGGUUAGGAGACGGCAACCCCAUAUCUCCCAGACCAAAGCUGCAGCAAAAUAAAACUCUGGUUUCCCUGGCAGUGCCAAAUGCAUCCUGAAAAGUGACAGCAGGAACCUGGCCCGGUGAGUUUUGGUGUCUAUAGCAAAAAGCCAGAUGUCACAUUCAAUGGCCAUCUGCUUCCUCCAGUUCCAAAUGCUGUAGGAUGCCUCCCAGACUCAAACCAAUACCACUCACAACUCGGGCUGCCAUGACAGUCCCAAAUGCCUCCUGCAAAUUGACAUCACGAACCUGGGCUGGGAGGGAUUGGCAAGAUGAAAUGGAAAAGGGAAAGGAGAAAAGUCCCAGCUACAAAUCCACGCAAGCUCACCCGUUCGGCUGCUGCUUCCCGGCACGAAGCUUUGUCCCUGGGCAUGUCCUUUAAGCAAUGCUCACCGUAUCCAAAUUCGCCUCUUCGGCGCAGCUCGGCUCAAUUCGAAUAACUCGGAGCCGCUCGGUCCGUUCGGCUCCGCUCGGCUCGGCUCGGCUCGGCUCGGCGGAACUCGGAGCCGCCUCACGUUGAAGGCGCAGCGCUCGCUGCUCUCCCGCUGCCGAGGGCCGCGGGCGGCCCGGCCGUCCCAUGGAAAAAGCAGCUUCUGUAUUCAACCCUUGGUAUCCCGCAAGGAGAAAAUUUCUCUACCUGUUUUCUCAUUUUUCUUCUUCGAUUUCAAAAUCAGAGUUACAAAAACCUACUCAAGUGCAAGUAAAAGAUUUACUAAGUAGUCAAAGUAGUCUAGUAAAUUUCAUAACCUAAAGAAAAAGUUAUACUUCUGUUUCCACAAAAAAUAAACCACACGAGAUUCCUACUCACUGUGUCAAACUUUAUUUAAAACACACAAAAAAACCCUCAAGAUAAAUAGUUCCACAACCAAAACAAAAUGUGUAAGUAACACUAACUAAAACCACACAUCCAAAUACAGCAUUUAUCGCAUUUUCUAUAUACAUUAUUAGUAUACCUCUUCACAACUAACCUUAUCCCUCACAAACUUUAAAUUGUAAAUAAAAAAUCCUAUACAUAACAUAAACUCUUAGAAUAACAUUUAUACACUCUUACCCCAAAUUA